UAUAAAAAGUGAAAUUUAACCCGUGAGAUGGAUCAGGCUGUAAACUGCCCAAUUCUGUCGCUGUUCAGGGCGCCACUUGUAACCACCCUCAAUCCCUGGUGGACCGAACAAAGGGGGCGAAUGUGGGAAUAAAAGACAAGAGACAAGAGAGUAUAUUUGAAAGAAGGGGUCAAGGGGCACCUUGCCUCUAGUGGACAAGGGCCCUGAACUUUACACAGCCCUCCAUAUUUAUUGGUAAAAGAGCUAGAGCUUUACACAGCCCUCUGUAUUUACUGGUAAAAGAGAUCUUGAGAAGGGGGGUGAUUGCCGGGUAAUCGGCAGUCGGUUUGGUUCACAGCAGGCUUGCGAGACUGCAUCCUUUGAACAACAGGCGCUAGAUUUCCCAGUAGAUAACUUCAAGGACCCCAACGCCAGGGAGUGACCGCCCUCAGCAAACCUUCUGGCAGCAGGCGCAGUCAUGAGUUUUACUCACAUCCUACAUUCAUGAUAAACAGUUUGCUGUUUGGUCAUAUAGCCUCCAGCGGAAUGCUGACUUGGUCACGAUCCCUUUGGCCUUUUUGGCUCCCAACAUCAGGCUAUUUUUUUUUUUUUUCCGUCAGUUCAUAGAUUCAGCACCGGUGCUGUUCUUAUUUUUCGUAUUUAUAGAUCAAAACACCAAGGAAAACCCGUGCCCGUAAUUAAGCAGAUGGCACCAGGAGUUCUGCCACUUGACUCUGAGCCCUUCUGAAGACUUCAUCAGCCGGAGCUUGACAGGUUCUCCUUCACAUGUGGCUGAAGCCAGAAGAGAAGCCUCCCGGCCUGCAGGCAGCUUCAUGGGUGGCAUGUGGCGGUGGCCUCCUCAGCCUUGAUGGUGGCACUCGGGGCUGUCCUCUGGCAGAGCCCUCACCAGGCAGCAGCUGACGAGGAGACCCAGAUGAUGAAGCUCUAGGCCUUGUGACUGUGUUUGGAAGGUAUUUGCAUCUGUGCAGCUCAGCGUGAGGGGCAGAUGGGCUGAGCCACACCCUGGCAGCCUGGGGUGGUGGUCUGAUUCUUGCUGUCCUCAAGCUCACGCUCCAGUCUCACCAUGCAUGGCUCCCAGCCCCUCCCUUGGCCCCGGGGGGACCCUCCGGUGAGCAUCACCGCCUACUCUUCAGCACACCCUCUGUGCCCUGCACUUUGCUUUCCACGUCGAGGGCCAUUUGCCUUCUUAAGAUGAGACAACUGAGAGGGGUGAGGUGACGCCACAUGGCCACAUCCCCAGAGCCAGCAAGGACAGGGCUGAGCACACCGCAGCCCGCACUCCAAGCAUCACAGCAUGGGCCCCACAGAGCAAACAACAGUGCAUGUGAAGAGAGCCUGAGAUCACCAUAGAGAAAAAGAGAAUGCUUCUACUUGGAAAAAGCUAGGAACAUACAUGAAAACUCUUGAUAGUUUGGUUUUUAAUCACCUGUAGGAGAAACUGUGAGUCCGCACAGACACCGCCAGCCUGUGCCCAGGUCUGGGUCAAUAAACAGGUGCAAGGGCUCACUCUGCCCAGGAACAAUCAACAGAUGACAGAGUGUGCAGUAGCUUCAGAGCUUCAGAGCUUUUGGCUCCCGGCUCCCACAGCCCACUCCUGGACUAGUACCUGCCAGGUGCUUUGUCACACAGAUACUUUGUGCUGUCGGCAUUAACUGCUGGAGAGGAACACCUGAUGUCACCUCCAGGUGCUGUAAACCCAUCCCAGGAUGGCCCACUUGUAGGUGAGGCCUCUGACAUCAAAGGAGAAUCUGUGACAUCAAAUCCAAUCACAGCACAGUGAGCCAGGUUUCACCUUCAAAGUUCAUGCUGGUGAAGUUAUCCCUGGUGCAGAACACGGAAAUAGCACAGAACGCACUGUGGGCAGGACAUCCUCUCUCUGAUCCUCACCAGGAAGGGAGGCAGUCUCAGGCCGGGGUGGGACCAAGCUCUUGAGACACCCAUCUUGCUUUGCUCUGAGUCCAUGCCCACUGCCGAGUGGCCUGCUCCCAGGGAUCCUGCUAUCAAGGCGGGUGGCUGGACAGUGAGUUCCGGGACACUCACAUGCCAGAUUCUGAUGUGCCUGGUUGGCAUGGGGAAGCUCCUGGGCACAGAGCUGAGGCCCAGGCCCUGCCACUACAUGAGUGCCCAUGGCCUCCCCAGGCCCGCUCCCAUGCCUCCAGCUCAAGGCACUAAGUGGCCAAAAUGAUGGCUGAGUGUAAAGUCACUUUGCUCUAAGCAAGAACUGAGAGGAGGCACAGGGGUGACCCCGUGAGCCCACAGAAGCCAUUUGGUACAUAUUUGUUGACUUACUUAAAAUGAAAAAAGUUGGAAAAUACACUGCUAGAAGGCUUGCACGGUUUCCUUUUUGUUUGCAGGCUGGCUUCAUGCUGGGUGACUGCUACAUACCUGUGGGCACCAGUGUUCACUGCCUCUUAGAUGCUUCCAUUUUUAUGGAAUUCACAUCUCCAGGUACUGGAGUCCCCAUAUAUAUUUGCUAUUAGAAGACAAAAAUUAUGGGAAGUAUAAAUGUGUGUUAACUUAUAUCACACUGAUUUUAAAAUAAGUAUUUCUCCACUGUCUCUUCAAUUUCUAUGACAAAGAACAUGAUAUCACAGCUUAGAGCUAUUGGCCAGUGAUCAUAAACUCAAAAAAACCCCAUAUUAGCCUCUGAAUUUGACAGAAAGGAACAAAAAUAAUCUUUUCAUCAUUUAGUGCUUUUCUGUGUACCACUUGCUAAAGGCAGCACAACAGAACCAGGCUUCAGAAGUAGUAGGUAGAUAAGAAAUCUAAGUCACAACUGUUAGCCAAAAGCAGAAGCCAGAAUUAAAACACCAGAGGUAUCCAUGUGAAAACUAAAUCUAGAGCUUAGAAAAAUAGUUGUAUAAACUAAGGCAAAAAUGACAAUGUCAAAAUAUUUGUGGAAAGAAAUAAAACUCUAAGUCUAUAAUGUGUCUUCACCAAAAAACAGAAGGCUUAUGUGGAUUUGACAACAAACAAAAUCUUAGUAACUGGAGAAUAAUGUGAAAAGAAAAAUGUCUAAAUGUUUACUGAGUAGAAAGCAGACUUAGGUUUUAUAAAAUUCACCAUACAUGAAAAUGCGUUGUACUCUCAACUCUAACUGAAAUGAGGACAAAGCCACAUAGGCCCCUGCAGAGGUGUCCCACACACAAGCACUGGAGCUGCUCUAGGCAUUGCUUUCCAUCUGUUUGCUUGGGAGAAGUUGUAAUAAACCUUUCCCCCAACAAGCGCAGACCCUCAGGCCUUGCCUCAUCAUCUGGGGGACUGCGUCCUGCAUCUGUGACAGUCACUUCCGGGACACAUCUCCUGGCAUGGGUCCUCAGGGACAGCCUCAGAAUCAACUCCUCAGAGUGAUCUGCAGCAUCUGUAAAUACACUGAUUGCUAUUUUUGGGAUAUUGGGAUAUGAAAUGUAUAUGUAUUGAUUCUCAGGCAUUUUUAUCAUAUAAAACAACAUUUGUUUCAAUAUCCUCGUAUAUGAGCCCUUCCUCGAGCAAAAUGUUAAGUUUCAGAGACCAAAAUAGAAUGGAGAUUUGGCCGGGCGUGGUAGCUCAUGUCUGUAAUCCCAGCACUUUGGGAGGCCGAGAUGGGCAGAUUACUUGAGCUCAGGAAUUCGAGACCAGCUCGGGCAACAUGGUGAAAUCCCAUCUCUACAAAAAAAAUACAAAAAUUAGCCUGCUCUUCCUACGGUGAACAACUGGAGGACUGCUAAGCCUCAGUCUGGGGCCAAGCUGAGCACAUGACAGAGAGUGCCUCUGUCCAGAGUGUCCCCAGAGGGCACCCUCCCAUGGCACGCACAGCACCUAGCCCACCUGCAUCUGCAUCUCCCUAAUUGGCCUGCACGGCUUGGUUGAGAAGUAAAUGCAUGCAGAGCUCCGCCUCCAUUGUAUUCUUGCCAGAAAUGUUCAGCCUAAGUCAGCAGUGAGAAACGGAACACCCAGGCUGUGAUAGCCUCUGCAGAGCAACUGGCCUUCAAAACAUCAGUGUCGGGAGAGAAAGAAAAGCAGACCCAGGCAGGAACAUGCCUCGAGAGGUGUGGAUACUGGAGACCUUCAGCUGAUCCCAUAAGACCUGCAGGCUGUGGUACCUCAGCUGUGGCGUGCUUCAAGACGCUUCCGUGAAGAUAUUCUCCUCAACCUAUGAAUACCUUACAG